rnacentral:rRNA from 1 species
UACGAAGGGGGCUAGCGUUGCUCGGAAUCACUGGGCGUAAAGCGCACGUAGGCGGACUCUUAAGUCGGUGGUGAAAUCCUGGAGCUCAACUCCAGAACUGCCUUCGAUACUGGGAGUCUUGAGUCCGGGAGAGGUGAGUGGAACUGCGAGUGUAGAGGUGAAAUUCGUAGAUAUUCGCAGGAACACCAGUGGCGAAGGCGGCUCACUGGUCCGAUACUGACGCUGAGGUGCGAAAGCGUGGGGAGCAAACAGG